rnacentral:rRNA from 1 species
UACAGAGGUCCCAAGCGUUAUCCGGAUUUAUUGGGUUUAAGGGGUGCGUAGGCGGCUUAUUAAGUCAGGGGUGAAAGACGGUGGCUCAACCAUCGCAGUGCCCUUGAUACUGAUGAGCUUGAAUACACUUGAGGUAGGCGGAAUGUGACAAGUAGCGGUGAAAUGCAUAGAUAUGUCACAGAACACCAAUUGCGAAGGCAGCUUACUAAGGUGCAAUUGACGCUGAGGCACGAAAGCGUGGGGAUCAAACAGG